rnacentral:rRNA from 1 species
UCCUACGGGGCGCAGCAGUAAGGAAUAUUGGUCAAUGGACGAAAGUCUGAACCAGCCAUGCCGCGUGAAGGAUGAAGGUCCUCUGGAUUGUAAACUUCUUUUAUAUGGGACGAAAAAAGGGUUUUCUAACUCGUCUGACGGUACCAUAUGAAUAAGCACCGGCUAACUCCGUGCCAGCAGCCGCGGUAAUACGGAGGGUGCAAGCGUUAUCCGGAUUCACUGGGUUUAAAGGGUGCGUAGGUGGGUUGGUAAGUCAGUGGUGAAAUCCCCGAGCUUAACUUGGGAACUGCCAUUGAUACUAUCAGUCUUGAAUACCGUGGAGGUCAGCGGAAUAUGUCAUGUAGCGGUGAAAUGCUUAGAUAUGACAUAGAACACCAAUUGCGAAGGCAGCUGGCUACGCGAAUAUUGACACUGAGGCACGAAAGCGUGGGGAUCAAACAGGAUUAGAUACCCCGGUAGG